AUACGGAGGAUCCGAGCGUUAUCCGGAUUUAUUGGGUUUAAAGGGAGCGUAGGUGGAUUGUUAAGUCAGUUGUGAAAGUUUGCGGCUCAACCGUAAAAUUGCAGUUGAAACUGGCAGUCUUGAGUACAGUAGAGGUGGGCGGAAUUCGUGGUGUAGCGGUGAAAUGCUUAGAUAUCACGAAGAACUCCGAUUGCGAAGGCAGCUCACUAGACUGUUACUGACACUGAUGCUCGAAAGUGUAGGUAUCAAACAGGAUUAGAUACCCUGGUAGUCCACACAGUAAACGAUGAAUACUCGCUGUUUGCGAUAUACAGUAAGCGGCCAAGCGAAAGCAUUAAGUAUUCCACCUGGGGAGCACGCCGGCAACGGUGAAACUCAAAUGAAUUGACGGGG
rnacentral:rRNA from 1 species